GUUGUGUUGAAUGAUCUUAGUGAUAUGUAUGUCCUAUUAUAAUGUUCCAACUUGCUAAAAAAAUUGCUGCAUAUGUCUAAAUUCUAGAAUGGAUGAAACAUAAUAGUACAGGUAAAUGAGUAUAGUUCUGCAGAAUGGGUAAAGAGGUAAGUAAUUUAAAUGUGGAUAUUUUAUUAAAUGUGCUUAAUCUAAUUCAUGGUUGAAUGUCUUGAGAGUGUU
rnacentral:lncRNA from 1 species